UGGACCAGUGAUGACAGCUGGUGACACACGAGUCAUAUACCAUGAAUGGCACGUGUCUGGAAGUCUGGGGUCCAA
ensembl:snoRNA